UCGAGAAUCUUCGGCAAUGGGCGAAAGCCUGACCGAGCGACGCCGCGUGCGGGAUGAAGGCCCUCGGGUUGUAAACCGCUGUCAGUGGGGAGGAAGGCUCUGUGAAGAGCAGGGUUUGACCUAUCCGCAGAGGAAGUCCGGGCUAAGUUCGUGCCAGCAGCCGCGGUAACACGAACCGGACAAACGUUAUUCGGAAUCACUGGGCUUAAAGGGUGCGUAGGCGGCCUGACAAGUUGGGUGUGAAAUCCCUCGGCUCAACCGAGGAAUUGCGCUCAAAACUGUUGGGCUCGAGGGAGUUAGAGGUAAGCGGAACUUAGGGUGGAGCGGUGAAAUGCGUUGAUAUCCUAAGGAACACCAGUGGCGAAAGCGGCUUACUGGAGCUCUUCUGACGCUGAGGCACGAAAGCUAGGGGAGCGAACGG
rnacentral:rRNA from 1 species